rnacentral:rRNA from 1 species
UACGAAGGGGGCUAGCGUUGCUCGGAAUCACUGGGCGUAAAGCGCACGUAGGCGGCUUUUUAAGUCAGAGGUGAAAUCCUGGAGCUCAACUCCAGAACUGCCUUUGAUACUGGAGAGCUUGAGUCCGGGAGAGGUGAGUGGAACUGCGAGUGUAGAGGUGAAAUUCGUAGAUAUUGGGAAGAACACCGGUGGCGAAGGCGGCUCACUGGCCCGUUUCUGACGCUCAGGCGCGACAGCGUGGGGAUCAAACAGG